rnacentral:rRNA from 1 species
UAGGGAAUCUUCCGCAAUGGGCGAAAGCCUGACGGAGCAACGCCGCGUGAGUGAUGAAGGUCUUCGGAUCGUAAAACUCUGUUAUUAGGGAAGAACAAAUGUGUAAGUAACUAUGCACGUCUUGACGGUACCUAAUCAGAAAGCCACGGCUAACUACGUGCCAGCAGCCGCGGUAAUACGCAGGUGGCAAGCGUUAUCCGGAAUUAUUGGGCGUAAAGCGCGCGUAGGCGGUUUUUUAAGUCUGAUGUGAAAGCCCACGGCUCAACCGUGGAGGGUAAUUGGAAACUGGAAAACUUGAGUGCAGAAGAGGAAAGUGGAAUUCCAUGUGUAGAGGGGAAAUGCGCAGAGAUAGGGAGGAACACCAGUGGCGAAGGCGACUUUCUGGUCUGUAAAUGACGCUGAUGUGCGAAAGCGUGGGGAUCAAACAGG